rnacentral:misc_RNA from 1 species
AACACUGUUAACCUGCGGUACCUGCGGAAGGAUCAUUAUAGUAUAUGGAAUCUCCAUUCUAUAAACCCACUCUGCGUAUCUUGUAACUGUUGCUUCCAUGGGACUUGGUUCCGCCACACCGGCUUCACGGCUGGCGAGCGCCCAUGGAAGGAGAAACAAAACUCUUCUUUGAAAUGUAGUCAGUCUGAACAAGUUUUUAUAAACGUUAAAACUUUCAGCAACGGAUCUCAGAUCGGAAGA